rnacentral:lncRNA from 1 species
UGACAUUGUAACAGAAGGUGUCAUAGAUUUUGAGAAUCCAGAGAAACUGACUGAAAAUCCUUCCCCCCCUCCUGUAACAAACGACAACUGAAAAAAUCAAGAUUUCCAUUUCUAUAAUACCAAGCUGUCUUUUGGAAAAAUCAGAGGGAUUCUUAUGCAAGAUCCAAGUAAAGCUUCUAGGAUACAUCAAAGAGGCAGGACAUCAGGCUAACAUCAGCUGCAGUAGUGAGUAACACAUUUCUGUGAUGGAAAUACAUCAUGUGUGAAUGUGUGCACGUUC